rnacentral:rRNA from 1 species
UAAGACAGAGGGUGCAAACGUUGUUCGGAAUUACUGGGCGUAAAGCGCGUGUAGGCAGCUCGGAAAGUCGGAUGUGAAAGCCCUGGGCUUAACCCAGGAAGUGCACUCGAAACUUCCGAGCUUGAGUUCCGGAGAGGAAGGCGGAAUUCUCGGUGUAGAGGUGAAAUUCGUAGAUAUCGAGAGGAACACCGGUGGCGAAGGCGGCCUUCUGGACGGUGACUGACGCUGAGACGCGAAAGCGUGGGGAGCAAACAGGAUUAGAUACCCUGGUAGUCCACGCCGUAAACGAUGGGUGCUAGGUGUCGCGGGCUUUGACCCCUGCGGUGCCGUAGCUAACGCAUUAAGCACCCCGCCUGGGGAGUACGGCCGCAAGGCUA